GUCAUCACUGUAAACCCUCACGAGACACAACUCCUCCUACUAGGGACACCUAGGGGUUUAAAGGCUUGUUGCACAUGCUCAGUGCACUCGUUUAACCAGCGAAAGUGGUCUAGUUAGAUUUUAGUUUCAGUUUUGCUCGAGGGCUGGCAAAAAUCAGGUUUGGGGGUAUUUGAUAACUCAUAUAAUUAUACAUAUAUAUCAUCCAUUUCUAGUCUAUUUGUGAUUUUUUGAGUUAAACUUGUUGCAUU
rnacentral:lncRNA from 1 species